AUGGCACAGGCUGGGCUGGGAGCUCUGGGGUCCCAUCCUGUCCCCCCAGAUUCCCUCCUCACCACCUCUGAGCAGCUGCUUUGGGGUCUGAAUUGCUGCCUCCUGCCUUGGUGCUGCAAACCCAGUGCCUGCUUCCCAUGGUGCUCUCCCAGUGCUCCUCACCCUCACCAGUCCUUCACCAGUCCUCCCAGUGCCCUACACCAGUGCCCCUCACCAGUCCUCCCAGUGCCCCACACCAGUGCCCCUCACCAGUCCUCCCAGUGCCCCACACUGGAGAGUCCAGGUAUGAUCCCUGCCAAGCACAGGGCUCCAGUUUGCUUUCCACAUUCCCCCUGGAGCUUCACUGUCUCCUGCAGGCUGCUCAUCCUCCUGAGCCCCAUUCACCCUUCUGGGAAGGGACGAGGACCCCCAGCCCCUCCAGGUGCUGCACGGUGCUCCAGCUGUAACUGGGACAGACCCAGCUCCCAGAAAAGCACAGCCCUGCACCUUCCUCCUCCUCCCCAGGGCUCAUCCCCUCACCCACCACAGCUCUGCCCUGGUUCCUCCCAGCUGCUCCUCCUGGCCUGGCACCCCCAGGUGCUGCCCCAGCCUGGUGUGGGGCAGCUGCAGCACUGUGUCCCCUGCCCCAUCACUCCUCCCUGCACAAGGAGCACAACAGCAGAUGCCUUUUCACACUUUGGGGGCUUUUCCCAGAGGCCAGCUGCCCUGGAGGCUGGUGGUGUCUCUGUGGGGGCUGUGCAGCCCGGCCCUGGCUGGGUUUGGCAGAGCAUGAGGGGGGUGUGUGUGUGUGUGUGUGUGUUUUCUACCUUGGUGUGUUCCUGUAAAUAGUGUAAGUUAUUGUGCUCUCCUGCUGUACGUUUUUCAAUGGCUGUUUGUUUCUUGCCUUUUUGUCUUUGCAAAUAAAAUGUUCUUGACAUGAAGGCA
rnacentral:lncRNA from 1 species